rnacentral:rRNA from 1 species
AUUGAACGCUGGCGGCAGGCUUAACACAUGCAAGUCGAGCGGAGCGAGGGUGCUUGCACCUUAGCUUAGCGGCGGACGGGUGAGUAAUGCUUAGGAAUCUGCCUAUUAGUGGGGGACAACAUUCCGAAAGGGAUGCUAAUACCGCAUACGCCCUACGGGGGAAAGCAGGGGAUCUUCGGACCUUGCGCGAAUAGAUGAGCCUAAGUCGGAUUAGCUAGUUGGUGGGGUAAAGGCCUACCAAGGCGACGAUCUGUAGCGGGUCUGAGAGGAUGAUCCGGCACACUGGGACUGAGACACGGCCCAGACUCCUACGGGAGGCAGCGGUGGGGAAUAUUGGACAAUGGGCGGAAGCCUGAUCCAGCCACGCCGCGUGUGUGAAGAAGGCCUUUUGGUUGUAAAGCACUUUAAGCGAGGAGGAGGCUCUUAAGGUUAAUACCCUUGAUGAGUGGACGUUACUCGCAGAAUAAGCACCGGCUAACUCUGUGCCAGCAGCCGCAGUAAAAC